rnacentral:rRNA from 1 species
GACGAACUGUCCUAACGUUGUUCGGAAUUACUGGGCGUAAAGGGCGCGUAGGCGGCGAUCUUUGUCAGGCGUGAAAGCCCUGGGCUUAACCUGGGAGGUGCGCUUGGGACGGGGUUGCUAGAGAUCGGGAGAGGAGCGUGGAAUUCCCAGUGUAGAGGUGAAAUUCGUAGAUAUUGGGAAGAACACCGGUGGCGAAGGCGGCAUCCUGGACCAAUUCUGACGCUGAGGAGCGAAAGCCAGGGGAGCAAACGGG